ACCUGCAUCGAAAGUGAUUUUGGUCUUGUUUGUGGCCUAGUCAUUGAUACUGCAGGAACAGCAUUCUUGACAGCAUUUCCCGUGUUUGGAGGACCAUUUCUCAACCCUACCAAACCCUGAGCUUUUCAGACA
rnacentral:snoRNA from 1 species